UCUGGCCUCAAAUCAGGUAGGACUACCCGCUGAACUUAAGCAUAUCAAUAAGCGGAGGAAAAGAAACUAACAAGGAUUCCCUUAGUAACGGCGAGUGAACCGGGAAGAGCUCAAAUUUGAAAUCUGGCUGUCUUCGAUAGUCCGAGUUGUAAUCUAUAGAAGCGUUUUCCGUGCUGAACUGUGUCUAAGUCCUCUGGAACGAGGUAUCAAAGAGGGUGACAAUCCCGUACUUGACACAAUCAUCAGUGCUCUGUGAUACGUUCUCUACGAGUCGAGUUGUUUGGGAAUGCAGCUCAAAAUGGGUGGUAAAUUCCAUCUAAAGCUAAAUAUUGGCGAGAGACCGAUAGCGAACAAGUACCGUGAGGGAAAGAUGAAAAGCACUUUGGAAAGAGAGUUAAACAGUACGUGAAAUUGUUAAAAGGGAAACGAUUGAAGUCAGUCGUGUUUAUUGGAUUCAGCCGGUCUUCGGUGUACUUCCUUUAAACGGGUCAACAUCAGUUUUGUUCGGUGGAUAAAGGCAGUAGGAAUGUGGCUCCCUCGGGAGUGUUAUAGCCUAUUGUCACAUACACUGGAGGAGACUGAGGACUGCAGCUCGCCUUUUUGGCCGGGGUUCGCCCAC
rnacentral:rRNA from 1 species